UCGGGCAUUCGAGAAUCGAGCUGUGGCAUCGUGGACGGUUGCUUCAGUGGACGCGACGACGAACAAAGUCUCGCAUUGUGUUAGCUGCGAACGCGAUCAGGACUGCUGGGAAUAGUUAAGUGAUAAUAAUAACAGUACGAAUUUUUAGAAUAAUUUAUACCAGACUAGAUAUGGGUUGAGCUGGAUUCUUGGGGAUGAAGAAGGGAGAGAUUGCGGAGAAUGUGAAAAUCGAUAGAAGAAAUAGAAAAAGAAAUAGAAGAAGAAGAAGAAGAAGAAAAGAAACAGGCAACGAGAAACAGAAGAAUAUCGAUACGAUAGUACUGAGAAAAAAUAUUGGGAUUUUCUCGGAGAUGGAUAAUGACGAGUAAUUGGUGGACGAUAUAGAGGCAUUAAAAAGAAGAAGGAGAGAAAGAAAGAGAGGAAAAAAAAGUCGAGAGAAAGAAAGAAGGGAAGGAAAAACUAAUAAGGCAGAGAAGGAUGAGAGUUAAGACGAUACCAAAGAGCCAUUCUCUGUGCCCUUAUACACGAACGGUCGAUGAGAAUGUCGGUGGGGGUGGUUGCAGGAGAACUAACGGGGAGGAGAGGGUGCGCAAGGCUAGCGCGUGAGCGAAGAGGAGAGUAGUGAAGCAACAAAAGAAGAAGAAAGAUACAAGGAGAAAAAGGAAGAGUAUAGCAAGUAAGAUGAGGUAGUGGCAGAGAAGAAGAAAAGAAAAUAAGGGGAAAGAGAAGGAAAAGGUGGUGGUACCGAUAGAGGAAAAGGAGAGGAUCGAGUGGAUGGAAGGAAAAGGAAGAAACAGUAUACACGGAGGUUCGCGAGAGGCGCGAGUAGAGAGGCGAGUAAAGGGAAAGAAGGCUUCAGGAGGAACGUCGAAGAGAGUGACAGAGAAAGAACAUCAUGGGUGCGGGACGAUAAGCGAAUGAGAAGGAGCGAAGGGGAGCCAAGUGAAGCCAAGUGAAGUGGGGACGCGGUGGCAUUGACCCCGUAUAGUAAGUAAGUGCUCGUUAUCGAAUUUGAUAGCACGCCAUCAAGGAAGCGGAAUUGCGUUGAAAAGUACGGUCAUCGAGGACGAAAAGUAUAACGCGUCAUUAUGAUCUACACGCAUAUAUACACGCGAGUACAUACGACGCAAAUUUGUUUUACGAAUGAAUGAUGCAUGCGUUCACAUGAGCAUCAGCAAGAAUUUCGAUGCGUAGAACUGUGAAGAACGAGUUACUUGAACAUACAUCGCGAGUUAGCGAAUACUGUCUGCGUAGGUGGGGAUGCUAUGACCACCAGAAAAUAUCUUCGAUAUCCUAUUUAACAUAAUAAAAAUUGGAAUGAUCUUCAAAUUCUAUAAAAAUAGAGAAUUCUUCGAUGCUUUUCUAUUUUAUUGUCUUUUUAUAUUUUCUUAUUUUGUGUUAAUAGAUGAAGUUAGAUAUUUUUUACACAAUUAAAUAUUAGAAAAAACCUGAUGUAAAACCUGAUGUAUAUAAGAAAAAAAAUACUAUCAAUUUUUAAAUAUAUCACGAAGCAUGAGAAACAAAAUUGUAGAAAAAUUACCUUUUUUCCGAUUUUGAUAAUUUUUAAAUAUGUUAAAUAUGUUACAGAAAAUAUACGAGAUUCUGAACAAUAUUUUUCUAUAUAUGUGUAAUGUUUUAUAUAAUUAAUCUUAGUUUUCAAAAUAUUUGUUAAAAAUUGCUACUAUAACAUUUUAUCUAUAUAUAAAUUCGUAUCUUUCGUCGAAAAUUAUUCAUGAAUUUGAAUGACGAUGAAUUUGAAAUAUCUUAAAUCCAUCGCAUAUCGAGUUUGAGCAUAUCGCAGAAAUCAUCUUUUGGAUCUAUAAAAUAUAAAAAUGAAAUAUAAAAGAAUUCUUGAGUGAUUGAUGAAUGAGAUAAGGAGGAGAAGGAGCUUUGACUAUAAAAUUUUAGCUUCGAGUUUUUUAUUAAUUUUCAAGAUAUUAAGAAAAAACUUUUGAUAGAAUCUAUUGAAUUCUAUACGUGCACGUCCUUGACAAUGUAUGCGUCAUCAUAAUGCGAUUGCUUAUCUAUUGUUUCUAUAAACAUACGCACUGAACGGCAUUUAAAAUAUAUAACGGGUAGAUCGGUCAAAAACCUAUUUCUUUAUGGAUUCUAAUUACAAUAAUAGAUAUCAGAAGCAAUAUUAUUAUUCAUUAUAAGUUCGAUUAUUCUAAUUUUCGUUGCCAAGAGUUGUUUUAUUUUUCUAUUCCGCGAAUUUCGAGGAAACUCAAUAUCGAAUUUGAGAAAUUUUAAGUCUCGUCGUAAUCCGUAAGCAAAUAAGUUUUUGAUCGAUCUAUUUGUUAUAUAUUUUGAAUACCAUUUGCUAUAAUAUAUUUAGAAACAAUAGAUAAGCGGUCACAUGAAUUUAUAGAAACGCUAACGAAUAGAUAAGCUAACGCACACUUAUCAAGAGCAUGUAUGUACAGAUAAAAUUCAAUGCAUUAUAUCAAAAGAUUUUUAUUAAUAUCUCGGAAACUUGUAAAGAUUCAAGAUAAAAUUGUAUAUUCUUCUUCAUCUUUUUUCAUUUCUCAAAAUUUCAAUAUAUUUAAUAUGUACAUUUUGUAUAUACAGUCUAUAUAUUUAUGUAUAUAUAUAUAUACUUAUAUAUAUAUACAUAUAUAUACAGUCUAUAUAUUUAUGUAUAUACAUGUAUAUUUUGUAUAUUUUUACUUUAUCCAGAUGAAUAUUAUAUGUAGAAAUUAACUCAUUAUACAUUUUGGAUGCAAUCGUUGUGAUAUAUUUAUAUAAACAAUGGAUAAAUGUCAAACAUGUUGUAUUCUAUCGCAUAAAUUUUAUAUAAUAAUCAAAAUCUUUUUAUAUAAUAAAAUUUAAUAUAAUAAAAAUGAACAAUCUUGAAAAUUUCGAACAUAUUUUAUGAAACAAUGAGGAGAAUUUUUUGAUAUUUUUUUAAGAAUAAAGUUUUAAAAGAUUGCAGUCAACUAACAUGAAAUUUGAUUUAUAACAGAGAGAGAGAGAGAGAGAGAAAGAGAGAGAGAGAGAGAGAGAGUGAGAUAAGUUUUAAAUUAUUAUUUUUCGAAAUAUUAAUAACGAGUUUUCAGCAUCAUAUCCUGAAUAUUAUGUAUCACUAAUACAACUAUCUUUGCUGGGUAGUUAUCGUUAUCAUCGACAAUCGAUUAGCUAAUGAUAUAAUAAUAUCGAAUUAAAAUAGAAAGUUUCUGCGGAUCUAAUCAUCAAAUGUAUUCCUGAAUUACAAGAAAUUCUUAAAAACAAUAAAGAUUUAUAUUUUUAGUCAGUCUUAUAGCUGUUAAUUUAUUAUUAUAAUGUUUCUCUAAAUUGCUAAAAUUUUAUAUGGAGCAUCCUAUAAUAAUAUAAAAACGGAUAUCGUCAUUAUCAUAAAUUAUCAUUAUUAUUAUAUAUGCUAUUCGAUAUAAUUUCUAUAUAAGACAGAUAAUUUCUAUAUAAGAAUAGGCAGCAUUCAAUGUAUAUUACGUACAAUGUUUGUAUAUUUGUACAGAGUAUUCAGUACAUGGUAUCUUUAUUAAUAUCUUGAAAAUAAUUGAUUUGAAUAAAAAUUUUAUAUUUAAAAUCCA